rnacentral:rRNA from 1 species
ACUGCGAAUGGCUCAUUAAAUCAGUUAUCGUUUAUUUGAUAGUACCUUACUACAUGGAUAACCGUGGUAAUUCUAGAGCUAAUACAUGCUAAAAACCUCGACUUCGGAAGGGGUGUAUUUAUUAGAUAAAAAACCAAUGCCCUCCGGGGCUCCUUGGUGAUUCAUAAUAACUUCUCAGAUCGCAUGGCCUUGCGCCGGCGACGGUUCAUUCAAAUUUCUGCCCUAUCAACUUUCGAUGGUAAGGUAUUGGCUUACCAUGGUUUCAACGGGUAACGGGGAAUUAGGGUUCGAUUCCGGAGAGGGAGCCUGAGAAACGGCUACCACAUCCAAGGAAGGCAGCAGGCGCGCAAAUUACCCAAUCCCGAUACGGGGAGGUAGUGACAAUAAAUACUGAUACAGGGCUCUUUAGGGUCUUGUAAUUGGAAUGAGUACAAUUUAAACCUCUUAACGAGGAACAAUUGGAGGGCAAGUCUGGUGCCAGCAGCCGCGGUAAUUCCAGCUCCAAUAGCGUAUAUUAAAGUUGUUGCAGUUAAAAAGCUCGUAGUUGAACCUUUGGCCUGGCUGGCGGGUCCGCCUCACCGCGUGCACUCGUCCGGCCGG